rnacentral:rRNA from 1 species
GUGAACGCUGGCGGUAGGCCUAACACAUGCAAGUCGAACGGCAGCACAGUAAGAGCUUGCUCUUACGGGUGGCGAGUGGCGGACGGGUGAGGAAUACAUCGGAAUCUACUUUUUCGUUGGGGAUAACGUAGGGAAACUUACGCUAAUACCGCAUACGACCUACGGGUGAAAGCAGGGGAUCUUCGGACCUUGCGCGAUUGAAUGAGCCGAUGUCGGAUUAGCUAGUUGGCGGGGUAAAGGCCCACCAAGGCGACGAUCCGUAGCUGGUCUGAGAGGAUGAUCAGCCACACUGGAACUGAGACACGGUCCAGACUCCUACGGGAGGCAGCAGUGGGGAAUAUUGGACAAUGGGCGCAAGCCUGAUCCAGCCAUACCGCGUGGGUGAAGAAGGCCUUCGGGUUGUAAAGCCCUUUUGUUGGGAAAGAAAAGCAGCAGGUUAAUACCCCGCUGUUCUGACGGUACCCAAAGAAUAAGCACCGGCUAACUUCGUG